rnacentral:rRNA from 1 species
CAGCAGCCGCCACGGGAAUACGAACCGAGCGAACGUUGUUCGGAAUCACUGGGCUUAAAGGGCGCGUAGGCGGGCUGUCAAGUUCGGGGUGAAAUCCCGCGGCUCAACCGCGGAACGGCCUCGAAUACUGACGGCCUCGAGGGGUGUAGGGGCGGGCGGAACUGAUGGUGGAGCGGUGAAAUGCGUUGAUAUCAUCAGGAACUCCGGUGGCGAAGGCGGCCCGCUGGACCCCAUCUGACGCUGAGGCGCAAAAGCCAGGGGAGCAAACGGGAUUAGAUACCCCCGUAGUCCCUGUCUCUUAUAC